rnacentral:rRNA from 1 species
GAUGAACGCUGGCGGCGUGCCUAACACAUGCAAGUCGAGCGAGGGUUUGCUCAGUAUUGAGUAUUCUAGCAACUAGAAUGUUCAAUUCUGAGCAAAACCAAGCGGCGGACGGGUGAGUAACGCGUGGGUAACCUGCCCUAUACACAUGGAUAACAUACUGAAAAGUUUACUAAUACAUGAUAAUAUAUAUUUGCGGCAUCGCAGAUAUAUCAAAGUGUUAGCGGUAUAGGAUGGACCCGCGUCUGAUUAGCUAGUUGGUGAGAUAACUGCCCACCAAGGCGACGAUCAGUAGCCGACCUGAGAGGGUGAUCGGCCACAUUGGAACUGAGACACGGUCCAAACUCCUACGGGAGGCAGCAGUGGGGAAUAUUGCACAAUGGGCGAAAGCCUGAUGCAGCAACGCCGCGUGAACGAUGAAGGUCUUCGGAUCGUAAAGUUCUGUUGCAGGGGAAGAUAAUGACGGUACCCUGUGAGGAAGCCCCGGCUAACUACGUGCCAGCAGCCGCGGUAAUACGUAGGGGGCUAGCGUUAUCCGGAUUUACUGGGCGUAAAGGGUGCGUAGGUGGUCCUUCAAGUCGGUGGUUAAAGGCUACGGCUCAACCGUAGUAAGCCGCCGAAACUGGAGGACUUGAGUGCAGGAGAGGAAAGUGGAAUUCCCAGUGUAGCGGUGAAAUGCGUAGAUAUUGGGAGGAACACCAGUAGCGAAGGCGGCUUUCUGGACUGCAACUGACACUGAGGCACGAAAGCGUGGGUAGCAAACAGG